CCUACGGGAGGCAGCAGUGAGGAAUAUUGGUCAAUGGACGCAAGCCUGAACCAGCCAUGCCGCGUGCGGGAAGACGGCUCUAUGAAUUGUAAACUGCUUUUGUACGGGGGUAAACGCAGAUACGCGUAUCUGUCUGAAAGUAUCGUACGAAUAAGGAUCGGCUAACUCCGUGCCAGCAGCCGCGGUAAUACGGAGGAUUCAAGCGUUAUCCGGAUUUAUUGGGUUUAAAGGGUGCGUAGGCGGUCUGUUAAGUUAGCGGUGAAAUCCCGAGGCUCAACAUCGGAAUUGCCGCUGAUACGGGGGGGAUAGAGUGUGUUUGAGGCAGGCGGAAUGUGUGGUGUAGCGGUGAAAUGCUUAGAGAUCAUGCAGAACCCCGAUUGCGAGGGCAGCUUACCAAGCCAUUUCUGACGCUGAGGCACGAAAGCGUGGGGAUCAAACAGGAUUAGAUACCCGGGUAGUC
rnacentral:rRNA from 1 species